GUUGCGUUAGAUGACGCCAUUCAUCUUGACGUAAGCAGGCUGUCACGUGCUGCUGCCGCCCUGCUUAAUACUUGCACGUCCAUGCGGAAACUUCAACACGGGACUGCAGAGCGCAUGCGUCAACAAGUUUAAAGUUAAAUUUUCACUUACUACCCGGAAGCAAAACAAGACAGUUGACUAUCUCCACACGUAUGUUGUAUUUGCAGCCAUGAGUGGAUGUCUUUCAUGUCUGUGAUCGCACACGUCUUUUUGCUGCACGCCAGGGGUGUCCAAACUUUUUCCACAGAGGGCCGCAUAGGGAAAAAUUGUGCGGCCCACAGUGGAAAAAGUUUGGACACCCCUGAUUUAGGAGCAGAUCUGGCCUUGACUUUGACACCCCUGGUCUAAAGGAAGGCACUGAGGCUGCAUUACCAACUGUCUGCUGCUCUUUGCUGACUUUCUCCAGCUGUCUCUUGUUGUGGAGAUGAAGAUCAGCCAGCUGAUCACCAAGUUGCUUUGAAUAUCUGCACAUGGCAAGAAAAAAAAAAUCAAUCAAUCAAUAAAUACUGCUACUAAAUGGUCAUACAAUGAAAGGGAGUGUCCUACUUGUUCAGACCAUGCAUGUCCAAGUGUUCCAUGACAAACGCACACCCUCCAGUCUCCAACUGCAACACCUUCACGGGUCUGGGGACUUUGACACUUUCUGUCUUUAAUAUGGCCUCCAAACUGGCCAUUUCCCCUUCGAACAUCACUUUGGCCUCCAUAAGGGGGAACAGAUCAAAACCCAUCACUC